GCAGUCUUGGCGUAGUGGAUAAGGGGAUUGACUGGAAAUCAAAAGGUUGCUGGUUUGAUCCCCAGCUCCA